rnacentral:lncRNA from 1 species
GUUGCUUCUUUAUGAAAGCCAUUUUGAUGAUUUGCAGUAGUUUAAAGAUACUAAAGAUGUCUCGAUUAAGCAUUAGAAAACGUAGGCUGCAACAGUGUGCUUACAGACGAAGAAGGAUAUAUUAGGGAUCACUAUAUUUCUAUCUUUUCUGUUUGUUCAAAUGGUAUUUCUUCUCCAAGAAGUAUUUGGCAAUUGAAGGGGGUAAUGUUGUUUUUUUUUUUAUUUUUUAAGUGUAAUUUCACGGAUCCGAGAUACUAGACAAACAAUACAUUUACCUCACACUUUUUAAGUAAUGCAUUUAUGAGUGAAUCGUUGUUUGAGUAAAGACCAGUGGCAAAUAUUUCUGUGUAAGUCAAGUCGAUUCGGAAAGACCUUAAUUUUCAAAUGAAUUAUGUGUUUGGCAAUGAUGCUGAUUUGAGUCUUG